rnacentral:rRNA from 1 species
UACGAGAGGCCCAAACAUUAUUCGGAAUUACUGGGCGUAAAGCGCACGUAGGCGGACUGAUCAGUCAGGGGUGAAAUCCCGGGGCUCAACCCCGGAACUGCCUUUGAUACUGUCAGUCUGGAGGUCGAGAGAGGUGAGUGGAAUUCCGAGUGUAGAGGUGAAAUUCGUAGAUAUUCGGAGGAACACCAGUGGCGAAGGCGGCUUUCUGGACCGACACUGACGCUGAGGCGCGAAAGCUAGGGGAGCAAACGGG